GUGAAGUAAGAGGGCUCACGACAGUCGAGAAAUUCUUACAGAAGCUACGAUAAUAGCCUGCCAUACCCAAGAACCUCCGCAACUCUCUACGGGUAGUAGGAACCGGAAAUUCCGUUAUGGCUGUGACCUUGGCCUCUACCGGUCGUACUUGGCCUUGACCAACCUCCUUACCGAGGCAAAUGUGUUCGGUCCAACUCAACGAAUACAACACCAGAUCAUCAAGAUACGCGUUGCAAUUUGGUACAUCAUGUAAAACGAUAUUAACGAGGCGCUGGAAAGUUGCUGGGGCAUUUCUAAGCCCAAAAGCCAUCGCCGUAUACUGUAGGAAGUUAUCUGGGGUUACAAAGGCUGAAAUCUCCGAAGCUUGUGAGAAUCUGAAUGUGCCAUCGGGUUUGGGAACAAGUAGGCAUGGAGAACUCCAAGGACUGCAGCUGGACUUUGCUAAAUCAUGUUCCAACAAAUACUCUACCUCUUGAUGCAUAACAGAUCUUUUCAUUGAGUUUACGCGGUAAGCAUGUUGCUUAAUAGGACGAGCUCCGUUCACAUUAAUAUCGUGUUUCAGGACAUUUGUUUGUGUAGGAACA